GUUUCUUUUAACCUUAACAUUCAGGAAUAAUCAUCAUCAGUAUUUUGAUAAGUUUUCUUAGGCAAAAUUUCAAAAUAUUCUUCUAGUAAAUCUGACUACUACUUGUUGAAUUUCCACAGGAAGCCCCCUAAUCAGGAAUUGUCAAAGGACGUGAUAACGAGUCAUACUGCGGUGGAUCGGCAUGCACCCUGUCCCCCUUCUUACCUCCCAGAAUUACCUCAGUAUCAUAGCGUAGGUGCUUUGGAGAAAACUGACUCCUCCUAGCAAUAAGUCUUCAGUUGCUUUAAGCUUUAAGCACAUUCUUUCAGUCCUCUGAUCAUUGUCAUUUGUCCAGGGGUGGGCAUGGACUUUAGUGGUACCAAAAAAAAUCUCGCAUUCCUAUUUGAAAUGCUGAGACAGAAGUACAGGCUCUCACUUUCUCUGCAGUUGGCAGAGAGGGAAUGUGGUCUCGAUUGCUUCUGGCAAACAUUGUGCAGUCAUGUUGGAAAGGGGACUUGAAAUGAAGCGAAGAUUCCAGAAAACAGAACAAACCAAAAGAAAUGGUGACCACUAUAACUGGCAACUGUGGAGCCUGCCCUAUCUCUGGACAUUCAGUUACUGGGGCUAAUAAAGCCUGGUUUACUUUGUUGUCUGUGCCAUUUGACUUUGCUUUCUUGAUG
rnacentral:lncRNA from 10 species